AGUGAACGCUGGCGGCAGGCCUAACACAUGCAAGUCGAACGGCAGCACGGCAGUAGCAAUACUGUGGGUGGCGAGUGGCGGACGGGUGAGGAAUACAUCGGGAUCUACCCUGUUGUGGGGGAUAACGUAGGGAAACUUACGCUAAUACCGCAUAAGAACUGAGGUUGAAAGCGGCGGACCGCAAGGCGUCGCGCGAUUGGAUGAACCGAUGUCCGAUUAGCUAGUUGGCGGGGUAAAGGCCCACCAAGGCGACGAUCGGUAGCUGGUCUGAGAGGACGACCAGCCACACUGGAACUGAGACACGGUCCAGACUCCUACGGGAGGCAGCAGUGGGGAAUAUUGGACAAUGGGCGCAAGCCUGAUCCAGCCAUGCCGCGUGGGUGAAGAAGGCCUCGGUUGUAAG
rnacentral:rRNA from 1 species